CGCACCACUUUUCUGGUUUUUUUUUUCUUCAUUUCACUUCACCAAUUUGGACUAUUUUUUCUUACCCAGUCGGAGGUGAUUUGGGUGGCAGUGGUGCUUAUGGCUGUGUGUGUGGCUGCAGCUUUGGUUGUCAUCUUCAGGUGGAGGAUUAUUUUUCAGGAAAUCCGUCAACACAGGAAAUGUGGUGCAAGCAAACAGUGAUUCCACCCAGUUCCGAACUUUUCUGCCUGCCCUGACCUCAAGCCUGCCUGCCGUCCUGUACUCAUCUGACUCUGACCUGGUUUACAAACUUCUGCCUGUCCUCGACCUGCCCCCUUAUCUAUUAAUAAAUAUCAGAGA